CACAAUUGGCCCACGCACCCCUCAACUCACUUCCCCUCUUCGCCUCCCCCCCUUUCCCUCAAAAGAACCGUACUGUAUGUUUUAUAUAACUAUACAAUAACUUACAGUUACAUGAGAAAUAAUAGCUAACAUCUCACAAAUUGAACUCUACAAAGAAUCACAAUUUGGUUUCCUCUCUGCAACCUAGGGUUUCAUUCUUCUUCUCAUCAAGGUAAGCUCUAAACUUGUAGUAAAUUAUUUUGAAAUUGGGCAUUUUUUUAUGUUAUCAAUUCUCUCUCUGUUUUUCAAAUAUUGAGUUUCUUCUUAUAAUUACAUAUGCUUCAAAUUUAUAAUUACAGGUAUGUUUUAUGAAUAUUGAUGUUGAAUGUGCAGAAGUUGUUUCUUUAUUUUCAUUGAAUUUUGCUCGUUACAUAAUAGCUAUGUGUAUUCAUCUUUAGAGCAGAUUAUUUUUUGGAAUUGGGUUUGAUUGCAUAUUGUUAUUGGGAAAAAAGCUUCUCAAUAUCUGGUCAUGAUUGUAUUGUAAACUUUCUCUAGUGAAAGUAGGGGUGGGCACAAAAAUAAAAAAGAAACCCAAAAACGUGCUAGAAGGGGGAAUGUAGGAACUAGGAUAGCAGUCAAGUUCUCAAGUCAUAAUGGAGGCUAGCAAGAAUGGGCACCAAAAUCUCCACUUCGGGUCCUUCUGAAACGAACUUUGCCAUACUUGCUCCAUUUUAGGCACAAAUAUAUGAAUCAGAUAAAUUAUUGACUUGAUAUAAACUGCCUAAAGUCUAUUUCUUGUAAUUACCGGUUGUCCUUGAAAAUCUGCUUUAAUAUGCAGCUAGAAUAGGGUGAACUAAUGUCUAUGAACAAACAGGUUGUAAGAAAGUCGCUAAUUCUAACCGCAAAACAGGUCUACGUCUGAACCUAAUUAAGUUGGUUCUUCGGUACAGGUUCUUCGUUUUUCGGUACGGUCUUCGGUAUUGGGAUAUCAAUAUUUCGGUUCUUCGGUUAGGUAUUCGGUAUUAAGGUUUCUAAAUUUCGGUAUACCGAAAUACCAAAUUUUUUUAGUAUGCAUAUUAAGUAGCUUAAUUUAAUCAAAUCUGAGUCCAACCCAUAAAUCCAUCCAAGUCUCAUUUUUCCUUUUAGCUUAUCAGAAUACAUUGAAAUUACUAUUACAGUGAAGUAAUAAAAUUAAGCUUGAGAAAAUUUGGUUUAUUUGCUGCUACUACCUCAAUUCAAUGCCAUAUUCUGUUUAUUGCAUAAACUUUUACUGAUCUUUAUAAAUAGAAAACAUUUUUUGUCUAUCAUUAACUAAGAAUAUUGAUCUUCAAUAACUACUAAAAGAUGUGUACUUACUGCAUCUAAUAAAUUAGCAAGAAUAAUAUGUGAUUAUCUCAUAAUAUAACAGAACAUUCAACUUUAAGUAAUCUAGACUCAAAAUACAUAGAAUAACUUCUGCUUCUAACCCCUUAAACAAUAAGUAGAAUUCCAAAAUUUCGCAAGGUCAAUAUCGCUACUGGGAGUGGAUUUUGCUGCAUUUUCAUUUUGUGAGUUUGUAUAAUCCGUUGGUUAACCAGAUGACGUCAUAUUUGUUAUCGUGCUUUCUUCUAUUUUUCAUGUCAACAACUCAGGUCCCUCGCUCUUUUUUGUUGAAGGAUGAAAUAAAUAAAUAAUUGUUGUGCAUGAACUCUGUUGAUCACCAUCCUGCUUCACUAUGAAAGGCUUCUGUAUUUUUCAAUCUCUUAUUUUUCGAUCACUUAUAGAACCCAUUUUUCCUUAGCUAAACUUUUUCCUUUUCUUUUAUGAUAUAUCGACAAGAUAAUAUAAUAUUUUAUCUAAUUUUGGUACUUUUCUAUAUUCAAGAAUGUGCUAUAAAACUUUUACAUUUUUUUAUGAAUAGACAAUGAACUUAUUUCAAGUAUUUAGAUAAUUCUAAUUCACUGGCAUAUUACUGGAUAGCAGUCAACUAAUCAGAUACCUCUGCUCCUGGAUUUCUACAAAGAUAUCUAUUUUGUUCUUUGAAGUGUAACUUUCAUAUAUUCUUUAGCACAUAGUGUUUUUAGUAAUAUACAAAAAGUAAUAGCAAGUGUUUGUAGGUACAAAAAGAAAUGGUAGUGUCUCUACAAUAUGGAGGUGCGACCUUUUUCAUUUUUCUUUUCAACUCUUUAUUGAUAUUGAGCAGCAUUAGAUAGUUUCAUUCAAGAUACAAACAAACACAAUAGUAGUAGGAAAAAAAUGACAUAAAUUUCAUGAAUUAGCUUGUUUGAUAUUUUUAUCUCAAUGUAAUUAUGUGUGCUGAUACCAAAAAAGAUUCUUGAUCAAAGGAAAGUCCCUGAAUUAACUAGAGAAAAUGUCGCCAGCCAUUUGCAGGUUUACUUCUGAAUACAUAUAUUUAACUAUAAUUGGUAUCAUGGCUUUCACAUAUUAAAUAGGUUAAGUUAUGUUUGAUUUCUGUAUUACUUGGUUUGAACUAGUCCAUGUAGGUGAAGUAAUGUUUGACUUCUGUAUUACUUGGUUUGAACUAGUGCAUAAUUUCAUAAAAUAGGAGAACAUAGAUUUCCGUAUUUUGUCUUACUUCAAUUAUUAAGUUAUUCAUGACUAUCUAUAUGGAUAUCAACCGCCCAUCAGCUUUGAUCAUUAGAACCUCACUUUGUUUGAUUCUUAUAUUAUGAUAAUGUAACACUCUUUUACACCAGUCAUACCAACCGCUUCUUAUUACGGUACAUUACUUUUUUUUGUUCAGUUACCAUCAGUUAAUUUUAAAGUUGAAAAACUUUUUACAGUAUAUUAGCUCUUAUAAUUUGUAAAGUUCACUCGUAAUAGUGAUUUUUAGUCUAUGUUGCUCGUGUGAUGAUACAAAUGUCAUUAAUGUUAUAAUACUAUAUGAACUCUUAUGAAUAAGAAGAUGAUAAACAUUAGUAAAAAAUAUGAAAAGAAGAGUAGGUCCUCACCCGAAAUUAACUUGAUGGUGAACAGAUUUUGCAUCAAUGAACGAAAGUGAGAAACUCAGCCUCUUAUUUGGUUAGUAUAUCUUUUUCCCUUUCUUGGGUUAUCUCUCUGUCUAAAGGUUAACAAUAAAGAUAGAAAUGUGAAUUUGAUGAAGAUAUGCAGUCGAUAGUAACAGAAGAGCUCUUUCAAGAUUUUGGGAGAAGUGACAGGAGAAUAAAGGAAGGAGCUUAAAACGUACUGGCGGUAUAAAAAAAUUUACACAAUCGGGUCACUUGUAAGAUCAUUACAAUAAGAUUGUAUGAUAAUUAUUAAAUGGUGAUCUGCUAAAAAUGGUUGUACUUGCUAUCACAGCUUAAACUAUACUGAUAACGUAAAAAUUAUUUUACACUAGAAUAUAGUGAAUUCCAUCCAUUUUCUAUUUCCUACGAUGCUUAUAUUAUCUUUCUGAUUUUUGUUGUUGUCAUAGAUUCUAUUGUCUAUUUUCUUCUUCUUGAGCCGAGGAUUUUUUGGAAACAACCUUUCUAUCCCUCCGGGAUAGGGGUAACAUCUGCAUACAUUCUACCCUCCCUAGACCCCACUUAUGGGACUUUAUUGGGUUGUUAUUGUUGUUGUAUUGUUGUAAUUAUGUGUGCUAAUUUAUUUUGCCUGCUUUUAAUAAUUUUAUUUUUAGAAAUUUGUCUCUUAAUUGUUGUUGUUUUUAACCCUUUUUGUUUAUAUCUUUUAUUGAUUCCCCUUAUGUUCAAAAUCAUCCAAGUCAUUUAUUAAGAGGAUCCUCCACCAUGAUUUGGUGGUUUUGUAUUCUCAAUUACAUGUUCCGCAAUUUGUAAAUCCUCUCUGUAUCUGUUUCUGAUUUGUUCAUCUUUAGUGAUAGUUUUCCCUAUCAUGUUCUUGACUUUGCUUCACUGGCUGAUGUUGUUGGUUUAAUUCACUUGUAGUUGAAAUAUCACCCUGUUCAACUCUUCUUGGUCUUCUCCUUCUUCGUUGUUGGCCAAACUAUCUGUUCUUGUCCUGCUCAUUCACUUUUUGCACAGUUAUGCCCUAUGCUUAUACAUUUAGUAUUAUUAGCUUUCUCUUUCACCAUGUUUGGAACUUUUUAAUAAAGGUUAUUUGAAUUCCAGAAAAAUUUAUGUCUUAUGCUUUAGAUUUAUAAUCGCCAUGUUUUAUUUAUUUACUCCAAUUGUUCAAUUAACACGAUGAUUAAAUUUAUUUAUUUGUUUUUUUUAAAUAAAAUAGUUAGAGAAGUUUUUACUAAACUGACAUGAGCUUGUUCUUUCAACAUGCCAAAAAUUUGAAGUAUGAAGAUGUCAUUGAAGAAAGUACAAAGCAAGUUGAUGCAUAUUAGAUCUUAUAGCUUUCUUGGCGGUUGUUUAGGGAUGUUGUCAUUGUACAUAUGUUAUAAUUUUGUUUUCUCUCUUUUAGGAUUUGAUAGUGAAAAAGUCAUACAGUUUAGAUGUGUAUUCUAGUAAUGUGUUAUUUUAUUAUUCUUUCUAGUUGACAUAUUAAUUUUAUGUGAAUACGUGUGGUUAUUUAUUAUUUUUUCUGAUGUGUAUGUAUAAGUAUA
rnacentral:lncRNA from 1 species